rnacentral:rRNA from 1 species
GAUGAACGCUUGCGGCGUGCCUAACACAUGCAAGUCGAGCGAUUCUCUUCGGAGAAGAGCGGCGGACGGGUGAGUAACGCGUGGGUAACCUGCCCUGUACACACGGAUAACAUACCGAAAGGUAUGCUAAUACGAGAUAAUAUACUUUUAUCGCAUGGUAGAAGUAUCAAAGCUUUUGCGGUACAGGAUGGACCCGCGUCUGAUUAGCUAGUUGGUAAGGUAACGGCUGACCAAGGCGACGAUCAGUAGCCGACCUGAGAGGGUGAUCGGCCACAUUGGAGCUGAGACACGGUCCAAACUCCCACGGGAGGCAGCAGUGGGGAAUAUUGCACAAUGGGCGAAAGCCUGAUGCAGCAACGCCGCGUGAGCGAUGAAGGCCUUCGGGUCGUAAAGCUCUGUCCUCAAGGAAGAUAAUGACGGUACUUGAGGAGGAAGCCCCGGCUAACUACGUGCCAGCCGCCGCCGUAA